AGUGAACGCUGGCGGCGUGCUUAACACAUGCAAGUCGAACGAGAACGGGUUAUAGCUUGCUAUAAUUGUCAGCUAAGUGGCGCACGGGUGAGUAAUGUAUAGGUAAUAUGCCUCUUACUAAGGGAUAACAAAUGGAAACGUUUGCUAAUACCUUAUACUCCUUAUUAACCUAAGUUAAUAAGGGAAAGAUUUAUUGGUAAGAGAUUAGCCUGUAUUGUAUCAGUUAGUUGGUGGGGUAAUGGCUUACCAAGACUAUGACACAUAACUGGUUUGAGAGGAUGAUCAGUCACACUGGAACUGAGACACGGUCCAGACUCCUACGGGAGGCAGCAGUGGGGAAUAUUGCACAAUGGACGAAAGUCUGAUGCAGCAACGCCGCGUGGAGGAUGACACAUUUCGGUGCGUAAACUCCUUUUAUAUGAGAAGAUAAUGACGGUACCAGAUGUAAGCCACGGCUAAACUUCGUGCCAGCAGCCGCGGUAAU
rnacentral:rRNA from 1 species